UCAAGACUCAGAAAAACUUGGUUUUUUUGAAGCCCAAUUUUCUUUGUUUUCUUUCAAGUCCCGUUUCCUAAACUACUUUGAAUUUCAUGAGUUAAAGGAAAAGAAGAACCUGAAGACAUACUUUGGAUUUCAAUGGUCUUCUGUAAAGAAGCAGCUGCAUUCGUGUUCACGGACUGGUGGAGAACAUCUUCCUCAAGAGGACCUGGCUGCAAGAACAGGACGAGAGACCACGGCAGAACAUGAGAACCUCAUAAGGGAUUAAAGCAGAUACAGAUGUAAGAAGUCUUACACACCCAUCAUGCUUCCUGUCAAGCAAGAUCAUCAAAUAAGGCGUUGUUUCCACUCACAUGCUGCCCAUGUGAUCCUUGGAGUCAGAGAUGGAGGCAGCUGAGCUUGGGUGGUUAUGCAUGAGCAAGUCAGCAGGCACAGCAACGAAAUGAAAUUCGUACUAACCCUCUUUCUAAUCUAAGCAGUAAUUCAAGAAGAAUCUCUCAGUCUUAUUAUCCCAAGUUCUUCUGUGCCCGUUUCUCCUGCACACGUAUGAGACAUCCAAAUGACAGCUGGUACAGUGACCAAAGCCAAGACAUUACUUUCAGGACAGGAAAGCUUUAAUUGAAGCCAGAUCUAUGCAUGUGAAUAUGUAUCUGUUUGAUUAGAAGCUUGGUUUUAAUAACUG